AUGCAAGUAGUGAGGAUGUCAUCUAUGGUUUUAUCCAAAAGGGCUCUCCUUCCAUGCAAUGUAUCUUGUCCAAUGGUUGAUCAUGUGACGCGAUGUCUUGGGGUGACUGUUGUGGUUGUGCUAUGGUGCGGAAUUAUCUGUAGCAACUUGGAGACGUUUUCACACACGGAUUGUAUUUCCUCAAUGGCUGACUUAAUUUUCUUGGACAUGGCAACUCUGUCAAAUGGCAACUUGGCAACUGGAGCACCACUACUAGGGUUUAGAGCUGCAUUGUGUAGGUUAUGUCAGCAAUUACAGCAGCAGCAAUACCAUCAUCGUCAUCUUUCAUGCGUGAACAAGAAAAGCAUGCAAGACAGUUACCGACAGUGUGGCGAAGAGCAUGGCAACAAGGGCGAGCAUGAACAAGGAGGUCAGCACCCAAAUCCGGCACUGUGCAGUGGGUUCCGUGGAGUUGGUCCUGGAUGA
rnacentral:rRNA from 1 species